GACAAUACCAGGCGAAUCCUGUAGCCAGCGACAGUGACGAUGAAUCUAAGAUUUCCAAGGCGGAAAACCGUGCUCUCCGCAAACGCAAGCGAUUUCAAUCACAAAAAUCGCCGAACGACGCACCUGGGAAACGCAUAUUAUUUCUCAGGCCUACUUCUACUGUUGGGAGUAUUGGGAGCGUUCCAUUUCCUCAAUGGGGUAUGCAGCCAUCAACGUCAGGUACCUUUCCGUGUGUCAACGGUUCUCUCGGGACGUCUAAUUUUCGUCCCUACACAAGGAAGACGUUUGGAAGUUGCUUCGCCUGCGGAGACUUCACGCACUACAGAAAAGAUUGUCCCUACAUGUCAGGUUCCUUCAACAAGCAGGGUCAAUCAGCCAUCGAUGUCACCCAGAACAGAAAAUGAGUCAUCAGUUUUGACAGAUGAGUAUUCUAUUUUUAGAUGUAAUUGUUAUAAUUUACACGGUGACAGUUUUACGCAUGAAUAUUUUGAGUAUGAACAGGGUCAAAAAGAAUAAUUGUUAAAGAUAGGUUAAAACAGUGUUAUGAGUUUUGACAUAAGAUUGGUGCUAAUGAUUUUAUACUGGAUACAAUCAAAAUGUUUCUCUGACGAAAUAGAAGAUUUUGACGAAAUAGAAGAUUUACCAGAUGUUUUGGUCGAUAAGGUGACCUGGAUCCCAGAACUACUGAAGGAAGCUCGUGCCGACACUACCACCAAAUGUUACAAUCGAGGUUUUAUUCGGUGGAGGAAAUGGGCCUUGAGUAAUUCUUUGGGAGAAAAGGACAUCUUUCCGGCCAAGCCAUCCAUUUUUGGUAUAUAUUUGUGUUCUAUCGUUCAGUCUUCAAAUUCAUUCAGUGCUGUAUCAAAAUCAUAUUAUAGUGUUAAAUGGAUGCAUGAAUUAUAUGGCUUGACAUCGCCUACAGUGAUUCAUCGUUAGUAAAAAAAAAAACAUUAGAAGCUGCUAAACGAAAGCUUUCUAAGAAAAUUGCGAAGAAAGAACCAGUGACUCCUGUUAUGUUGCUUAGAAUGUUCAAUAGUCUUUAUCAGGAAAACAAUAUCAAGAAUCAGAGAAUUAUUUGCGCAUGUUUGUUAGCAUACGCAGUGUUUAUGAGAAGUGAAGAAUUACUUAAGAUUAGACGUUCCGAUAUAGUACUCCACUCCACAUAUAUCAAUAUAUUUAUUGAAUCAAGCAAAACUGACGUUUAUAGAGAUGGAAAUUGGGUAACAAUUUCUUGCACAGGUACUAUGUUGUGUCCUGUAGUAAAUUUACAGCGAUAUCUCUGAUUCUGACAUUUAUAUAUUUUGUGGAAUGUCAAAAUGCAAAAAUGGAUAUAAGUUAAGGGAUAUGAAUAAACCCAUUUCGUAUACAACUUUGAGAGAACUGUUUAUUGAAGCGUUUAAAUAUCAUGUUUCGGAUAUUUCUAAAUUCGGACUUCAUAGCCUGCGCUCCGGGGGCGCAACUGCAGCCGCGAAUAACGGCAUUAAGGACAGACUUUUUAAGAGACAUGGAAGGUGGCGUAGUGAAAACGCCAGAGAUGGUUAUAUUAAAGACUGUUUAUCUGAAAGACUUUCUGUUUCUCAGAAUUUGGGUUUAUAAACUUUGAAUUUGAUUUCAAGCACAUGGUAUUAUUUUGUAACUUAUAGUUUCCCGUUCUUUGAUUCAUCGUGCCCAAGUGCUCAUUACAUAUUAUACAAUAUAUGAAGCAUAUUGUGUUUUUGUUCUUCUGGUACAAAGAUCUGUGUAUGUUUAAGGAAAUAUAUUUUCCGUCGGUUAAGCGAAGCGAAUUAGGCGGGAAAUAUUUUCCUUGAAUAGGUAUAGAUCCUUUGUUGUAUCAGGCCAAUCAAAAUCUUGUUUUGAUGGUUGUUUUGUUGGUAGCCUUAGUAACGCUGGUAAGGCAAGUUAUCGUGCCGAUUGUUGUGAUUUGUAUGGUCAUUCAGCUUUGGGCACCUAUGCUUACAAACAGAUUAUUUUUUAAAUCUACAUCACGGGAAAUUAUUUGUUACUUUGUUUAAAAAUGUUUAUAUAUAUAAAGACAUGAGAAGUGAAUGUUAUGCAUGUUCAAUCAUUGAAUUGAUAUUUAUGAACUGAAUGGUAUUUGAAGUUGUUAUAUGAUUCAUGUCAGUAUUUUCUUAUAUGUAAAUGUAAUGGAUAUGAUAUUAUUGGAAGAAGAAACAAUGUAAGCUAAUCGUGCCCAAGUGCUCAUUACAUAUUAUACAAUAUAUGAAG
rnacentral:lncRNA from 1 species